rnacentral:rRNA from 1 species
GAUGAACGCUGGCGGCGUGCUUAACACAUGCAAGUCGAACGGAGAUAAACGGCGAAGAGAUUUCGGUCGAUUCCUGUUUAUCUUAGUGGCGGACGGGUGAGUAACGCGUGGGUAACCUGCCCUGUACAGGGGGAUAACACUUAGAAAUAGGUGCUAAAACCGCAUAAGCGCACAGUACCGCAUGGUACAGUGUGAAAAACUCCGGUGGUACAGGAUGGACCCGCGUCUGAUUAGCUGGUUGGAGGGGUAACGGCCCACCAAGGCGACGAUCAGUAGCCGGCCUGAGAGGGUGAACGGCCACAUUGGGACUGAGACACGGCCCAA